GUGCAGUGUGCGCACUUGUUGACUGCUGCGUUAGCUGCACGUGUAUUGUGCUUGUGCGCGCAUAUGUGUGUGUGUGUGUGUGUGCAGUGGGAACUUGUUGACUGCAAACUACUACAUUAGCUGCAUGUGUAUUCACGCGAGUGUGUGUCUAGAUUUGGCAUUAAGAUAAUUGAAAAGUCACCCGUAAAAGACAUGAGCUUUUCAAAAUUUUGUAAGCAGUCAUUUCACAUUGAUGUUGUCCAAGAAAAUUUAAUUGUUCGGUGCACAAUGUACGAUUCUGAUUGCGACAAACAUUAUGACAAUUUAUUUGUAGAUGAGUAUUAUGAUAUUGCUAAUAUCAUGAUAAGACCAGCCAAUAAACUAUAUAAUAAUUUAGGAGUUGCCUAUGAAUUGGCUGUGACGGAGGAAACUACGUUCACUAAAGUCAAUGAAUAAAUUGAUACAAAGACUUUAAGCAAAUAUACAUAUGCAAUUCAAUUCACAAAAAUGGAUGGGAAUAAUAACAUUUUCAAUUCACAAAAUUCAAUGAUGUUGAAAAUCUGGAUGUAAAAACAAACAUCAAUGUUAGAGCAAUCGUUAAAAGUAUUGGAAAUGUAGAUGAGCUUAAAUCUAAAACAGGUAAUUUAUUUAAAAAAUUGGAAAUAAGUUUGAUGGACACAACAUUAACAACUAUAAAUUUAGUAUUAUGGAGUGCGGAUACAAAAUUUGAGUAUGUUAAGUGGGCGAUGUCCUCGAAAUUAAAAAUUGCAGGAUUUAACGAUAUUUGAGUAAAACUACGUUAAAUAAAAACUGUACAACAAUCAUAAAGUUGGAUACGACUUCAGAAGUGUCAAAAAGGUUGAAAAAACUUUUGGAAGUAAAUUAAAGCUUAUACUUUUGAAUUGAUGUUGGCGUUAGCAUAUCUCAAGUAAUGUAACC